GAGGGGAGAAAGACGGAGGAGGCGGCAGCACCAGCACCCGCGGUUGCUGCCAGUCCUCGACCCCCCCUCCCCUUCUUUCCUCAGCGCAGACAGGCUUUACCCUGCUGGAUAGCUACCGCGCCUCCCCCCCUCCUCACCCUCCGUUCCAGAAGAAGGAAGCGAGAGAAGAGGAAGAAAUUCUCCUUGGGGGUGGGUGGGGUAAGACGAGGGUGCUUUCCCCUCAGGGAAGCGACGACUGAACCCUCCUUUGCCCCUUCUCGCUCGAUUUCCCCUGCGGCUGGGGAGGCGGGAAGACUCGGUCGCCUUCCGCGGCUCCUCUCUCCAGAUCUCCCUCUCUCUCUCUCUCUCUCUCCCUCAUCCUCGCCUUUUCUGCUUGCAGUAGGAAUGUGGGGGGGCCUUGAGUUGAGAGCGGGGCGCUCGGGGCAACGGCUGCUGGAGACCCCCCUUCCUUUUGGCCUGCUGUCGCGUGGGGACACAAGAACUAAAUUGAACUGAGCGGGGAAGGGCUUGAACUCGCCCUUUGGGGGGGUAAAUACCCCCCCUUCCUUUUUUUACUUUACCUUUCGGCUUUCGAGUUGGUUUGUGGCUUCAUUUAUCGUUCUCUGGAAGGACGAGGCUUGUUUUAUGAAGACGCUGUGCGGACAGUAAUGACUGGGCGUUUCCGAUUGCCUGCUGGCAGAACCUACAAUGUACGAGCAUCUGAGCUGGCACGAGAUAGACAGCAUACAGAGGUGGUCUGCAAUAUUCUUCUUCUGGAUAAUACUGUACAAGCAUUCAGACUUAAUAAACAUGAUCAGGGGCAAGUUCUGUUGGAUAUAGUUUUCAAACAUCUUGAUCUGACUGAGAGAGACUAUUUUGGUUUACAAGUGGCUGAUGAUUCUACUGAUAACCCGAGGUGGCUGGAUCCAAACAAGCCAAUUAGGAAACAGUUGAAAAGAGGAUCACCCCACAAUUUGAACUUCAGAGUCAAAUUUUUUGUAAGCGAUCCUAGUAAACUUCAAGAAGAAUACACACGGUACCAGUAUUUUUUGCAAAUUAAACAAGAUAUUCUUACUGGAAGAUUGCCCUGUCCUUAUAAUACUGCUGUACUUUUGGCUUCCUAUGCUGUUCAGUGUAAGUACAUAUCUGAACUGGGAGACUACAACCUUACGGAUAACUUCCCGGGCUACCUCUCAGAUUACUCUUUCAUCCCUGGCCAGCCUCAAGACUUUGAAAAAGAAAUAUCCAAACUACAUCAGCAACAUAUAGGUUUGUCUCCAGCUGAAGCAGAGUUUAGUUAUCUCAGUACUGCCCGAACCUUAGAACUCUAUGGAGUUGAACUGCACUAUGCAAGGGAUCAAAGUAAUAAUGAAAUUAUGAUUGGAGUAAUGUCAGGAGGCAUACUAAUUUAUAAGAACAGGGUACGAAUUAAUACCUUCCCAUGGUUGAAGAUCAUAAAAAUUUCUUUUAAGUGCAAACAGUUUUUCAUUCAACUUAGAAAAGAAUUACAUGAAUCUAGAGAAACUUUAUUGGGAUUCAACAUGGUAAAUUAUCGAGCAUGUAAGAAUUUAUGGAAAGCUUGUGUAGAACAUCACACUUUUUUUCGGUUGGACAGACCACUGCCACCUCAGAAGAACUUUUUUGCACAUUAUUUUACUUUAGGGUCAAAGUUUCGGUACUGUGGGAGAACAGAGGUCCAGUCUGUACAAUAUGGCAAAGAAAGGGCAAACAAGGACAGGGUGUUUGCCAGAUCCCCAAGUAAACCUUUGGCUCGCAAAUUGAUAAGUGGGAUGGACUGGGAGGUUGUCAGCAGAAAUUCAUUGUCUGAUGACAGGUUAGAAACUCAAAGUUUACCAUCCCGUUCUCCACCUGGAACCCCUAAUCAUCGCAACUCCACAUUUACUCAAGAGGGAAACCGUUUACGGCCAUCUUCAGUUGGACAUUUAGUAGACCAUGUAGUCCAUACUUCACCCAGUGAGGUAUUUGCAAAUCAUCGGUCACCUUCUUCUACAAAGGCCAAUAGUAUAAUUCUAGAAUCAUCACCGUCUCAAGAGACCCCUAUAGAUGGCCAACCACCUGCACUGCCACCUAAACAAUCUAAAAAGAAUAGUUGGAACCAAAUUCAUUAUUCACAUUCACAGAUAGAAUUGGAUAACCAUAUAAAUGAAACAUAUGAUGAUGAUUCUUCCUCGUCUCCUGAAAAAUCUACUCCAAAUGGUGGGAUUCUUCAUGACAAUCUUGUUCUAAUCAGAAUAAGACCUGAUGAAAAUGGCAGAUUUGGUUUCAAUGUAAAGGGUGGAUAUGACCAGAAGAUGCCUGUCAUUGUGUCUAGGGUGGCCCCCGGAACACCUGCAGAUGUUUGUGUCCCUCGUUUGAAUGAAGGGGACCAGGUUGUACUGAUCAACGGCAGGGAUAUAUCAGAACACACCCACGAUCAAGUUGUUAUGUUUAUUAAAGCUAGCUGUGAGCGGCACUCAGGGGAACUUGUACUCCUAGUUCGACCCAAUGCUAUUUACGAUGUAGUAGAAGAAAAGCUAGAAAGUGAGCCAGAUUUCCAGUACAUACCUGACAAGUCCCCACUUGAUGGAAUUCACUAUGAUGAUAAUGCUCUGAGAGAAUCAAUGUUUCAGCUAGCGGAAGGGCUUAUCACUGGAACAGUCUUGGCUCAGUUUGAUCAACUUUAUAGGAAGAAGCCUGGGAUGACAAUGUCUUGUGCCAAAUUACCUCAAAAUAUUUCCAAAAAUAGAUACAGAGACAUUUCGCCUUAUGAUGCUACACGGGUUAUUUUAAACAGUAAUGAUGAUUACAUCAAUGCAAAUUAUAUAAAUAUGGAAAUUCCUUCUUCUAGUAUAAUCAAUAAAUACAUUGCUUGUCAAGGUCCUUUGCCCAACACUUGCCCAGAUUUUUGGCAGAUGACCUGGGAACAAAGCUCCUCGAUGGUUGUUAUGUUAACCACUCAAGUGGAAAGGGGCAGAGUAAAAUGUCAUCAAUACUGGCCAGAGCCUGGCGGAAGCUCCUUAUAUGGAAAUUUCCAAGUCACCUGCCAUUCAGAAGAAGGAAAUCCUGCCUAUGUCUUCAGAGAGAUGACAUUAUUUAAUUUAGAGAAAAAUGAGGACCGUCCGCUCACUCAGAUCCAGUACGUAGCAUGGCCUGAUCAUGGAGUUCCCGAUGAUUCCAGUGAUUUCUUAGAUUUUGUAUGUCUUGUCCGGAAAAGAAGGGCUGGGAAAGAAGAACCUGUUAUUGUUCAUUGCAGUGCAGGGAUUGGACGAACUGGAGUUCUUAUUACUAUGGAAACAGCAAUGUGUCUUAUUGAGUGUAAUCAGCCUGUUUAUCCCUUGGAUAUUGUAAGAACAAUGAGAGAUCAAAGGGCAAUGAUGAUCCAAACACCUGCAUAGGAGGACGUUGUUCUUGAAAAUUACACUUAGCUUGCUGAAUGCCUACCAACCACAUUUAACAGACCCGUUCAAGUUCCUGUAUUGUAUUACUUUCCAUUGAGAUCCAUUGGCCAAGAGUCAAUACAGAUUCGUUUGUGAGGCUAUUUUGAAAGUGUACAAAGAAGAACUUGUUAGACCUUUAAAGACAUCACUGAAUAAAUAGGAAGCAAAACAUAACUUUCAGAGAAGACGCUACAUAAGACACAAAUUGUACUUGUGCUAUAAUGUUUCUUGAAAGAAAUGAUGUCUGAAAACAAUGAAGAACUGAAAAGGACUUCAGCACUAUUGCACUUUAAGUUAAAACUGAAAAUCAGUCUCUAAAACACUAUGAUUUUUCUGUAUUGAAAGACUCCAUUCAUGCUUUGCUUCAAACAAGCCACAGAAUUAAUGAGCUCCAUGAGUUCUGGAUAAUUUUCCAGACUUGGUUGCAGUGCCAUAUAGCCCUUUUGUUCAAAAUGCUACAAAAAAGAAAAAGGAAAAAAAAAAGCUUGGAAUACUUUCAUUCUUUGACACUUGUUUCUAAAGCAACAACAAUACAUGCAAAGCUAUUUCUUCCAAUGCUAAAGUUGUCAUGUUAUUUUAUACCUUUUGGUGAAAUAUUAGCAAUAUUCCUUCUAUUAGAUACACUGCCUACUGAAACAGCACAUUUCUCCCUGUGCCCUUCUAGAAUCUAACCUGAUUACUAACAGAAGGUUGCAGUAUGAUCUAACCCAAUAAUAGCUGCAUAAUGGCCCACUGAACCAGCAUUUUGUUUAGUUGGUAUAUGAACAUUCUUUGUACAACUAGUUCUAAUCCUGUUUCUCGGAGGAUUAUAGCACCAGUGUGUUCGGAAACAUUGAUGGCGUUACCUAUGGGAAUGAAUGUGUGUAUUUUGUCUUAACCCCUUAAGUGCCUUGAGACUUACAGUGUAUGUCUUAAUGGCAAGGGACUUGUUGUGGCCCUCAAGGGGAAGCUAUCAUCAUAAUUAGAUUCAUUUUGAAAUAUGAUCCUUGGUGCUUAGAAUAUGGUACAGUAAGUGGUCACAAAAACACUGUUCCUUUUCUCUCUGUAAGUACCUAUGGGUACUUUUUACUGUGGAUAGCAAAAACACUCUAGCCUAUUAAGUAUAUAACCUUCGUUUACUGCUAUGAAUUGAAAUGGAAAUUCUGACACAUUCCUUUCAACUGGUAAACUGCUAGCAAUUUAUAAUUGAAAGCCAAUAUAUUGAUUUAGAAUUUGUUCUUCUGUUUUUCCCUCGCAUUGAAAAGUAAUAACUUGACUAGGAUAUACCAUUUUAAUUGUAUUGAUCUUCUGCUUGAAAUGUGAAAAUCCAAGGUGAGAUUUCCCUAUCAUAGUUAUUUUUCUCCAAGUUCAUGUUUGUUGCUUCUCAAGUCAUGUUUAUGUUUUUAAAAGAAAAUUGGGUCGUUAAAAGUUUUAUCAUUGUCCCUCAGAGCUUUCCGAUAAGCUCUUUGGGUCUCUCUACGAUACUUCAUUCAGGAAUUGGCAUAUACCGUUGGAAUUAGCAGUAUCUGAACAGAUUGCAUAUAGGUUUGUUUUUUGUUUCAGUCAGAAAUGUUUUCUAGGGCAGUUAAAAUCCACCAGGCAAUGAAUAAUCCUUCCCUAGCUAAGUUGACAAUUUAAUUCUUUAUGAACUUAAAUCUAUCUGUAGAUAAAUAUUUUGAUUUGCUGCCAGUUUUUAAAAAGCAAGAUAUGCAGAAUAUAUGGAAUGAGAAUAUGAAGUUUGUAAAAUGCAUUUGUGUGUGUGUGUGUGUGUGUGAGAGAUUAGAAAGAGAGUGAAUGAGCAUGUAUGUGUAUAUAGAUACGUGCGAGCACACACACGCUCUUAUAUUGUGAUGAGAGAAACUUACAGAUAUGUCAGUAGAUAAGGAGGCACUUUCUCCAAAUCCCCUUUUCCUGCUGUCAGUUGUACUUUCUUAGAACUUGUAGAGGGCUGGAAAUAGACGUAUCUAUUUCUCAUAACUGCUUCCACAGAGGGAUCCCUCACCUUAGAUUAAGAGUCUUCCAUGGACAGGAGAAAUUUCUGUAUGUAACAUGAUGCCUCAAUCCAACUAUUAUGCAUUGAGGACAUUCCCAGUCAGUUUAAAUGCUAAUAUAUAACCCUAUGCCAUGAUGUGAAAUGAAGGAGUUAACAAAAUCUUUUAGAUUUGUUUUAAAUAGGCUUGUAAGCUAAGCAGUAUUGUUUCUUAAACCAAAUCUAGCAUAUUUCUUUAAUAGUUCUUUAUUGCCAUCACACAUGCAUAUACACCCCAGUACUACCAUCAAGGACUUGAUCAGCUAUUUUUUUUUUUUUACCCAUCUUGUGGUUCAAACGAGAUUGAAUCUUUCAAAAAUCCCCACAUUCUUAAAAGAGCUUUUUCCAAACUAGAAAUAUAGUUUUUGUUUUCACAAACUGAAGCAAGUGUGAAAUGCACUUCUAUUUCUGACAGCAGUGAAAAUGAAUGGAGUGAUGGAAUCAAGGUUAUUCUAGAUAAGACAACUGAAAGGCUUUUGAUGGGCUCUUACUAUUCUGUAGAAAUAAGAGAUUGGAGAGGGGAGUUUCAUAUGAUAAAGUGCAAUGUGGGAACAGGCAUCAAAGUCUGCAAUCAUCUAAACUUUUCUUACAUAUUGAUGUAAGCAAUGUAAACCUUUUAAUGGAAUGCGGUGGUUCUUACUACUAGCUUUUGGUAAAUGCAAAUAAUAAACGUACAUCUAUUCAUGUUUGCUUAAAAAGAAGCUUCAUAACUGGAAAGUGUGUUGACUUAGAUACUAUUUUUAAUUAGAGUAUUGUGUUAGUUAUUUGCAAGGCUGGCUUGCAUUUGGAACAAAUUAAAAUAAAUAUUAAGUUAUACCUAUACCAUUAAUUAAGCCACUUAAUGAUCUUACUAAUAUAUAUAUAUUUGUCUCUUUGUAAGAUUGUUGAAGGGAAAAUCUCUAGGAUGGCUCAGCAAUGUGUAUUGUUAAUAUUGUACAUACACUCAUAUUUGUAUGUAAGAUUGCCAAAGUAAUUUAAAUCUACAAGAAACAUUGCUACAACAAGAUACAGUAUUGUAGCAAAGUUUUGGUAUUUGGUACUUUAUCCAACAUAGAGUCAGAAAUGUUAACCACCUUAAUGUCUUCCCUCCAAGCUGAUUUAUGAGUUACUAAUCCAUGCCAACAAAAACAUUUUGAAAUUAUAUUUCUUUGGUAAGGACACAAACUAAAGGAAUUUAAAUGCCUAAAUUAGAUAAAUGGAAUAAUAAAAGUAUCCUUAUGUCUUUGAAAUGAAUAUAAAAAGUUAAUCUGCCCACAAUGAUAUUAAUAUUUUACUAAUAUUUUAUAUGACCUAAAAGUUAAUACUGCUAAUUGCUUUGCAAUGGGUUAUGAGGAUCUGCAUUAAGCUGAAAGGAAAAAUAUUUUUGUAUGUGUUUCAUUCUGUACAAAACAUGAAAAUGUGUUUCAGGCAUAAUGUUAUAUAAAAUGAUGAGUGUUAUGGAUGUUGGAUUUUAUGGAGAAAUAUUUUCUUACUAUUUGCUAAAAACUGGGGAGAAAAAUUGUAACAUUUCCUGUUUUCUAAUUCAAGUUGCUUUCAUUGUAAAUAAGAGCAAUAGGGUAAUAGUUUUGUGCCAAUGUAUUUUUUUUUAAUGUAGAAAAUUAUAACUAUUUAAGGUACUUUUGAAGAUUUGACUCAUACAGAAAUCUAAGACUCUUAAGACUUGUUAAAAUGGUUUUUGUUUUGUUUUGCCUUUUAAGUUGUGUGGCUUUGGGGUGAUGGGGUUAUACCAAGUUAAAGUAUCCAGUCAUUUUCUGAGGAAUGCAACUGGCUAAUUGCACCAUUUAGAGAAAUCCCUCCAAAUCAAAGUGGAAUAUGCAUCUCUAGUAAUAACAACAAUGUUCCUACAUUUUAAGUAGUAAUAGUAGUAGUAUGUGAAUAAAAUUAUUCUUGAAUAGUUGAUGGAAACAUUUGGACAAGUAAAUUUUGGAUAAAAAUUGAACUAUGUUAAAUUACAGCAUUACACACCAUUAUAGAAACAAUAAAGUCCACCAAGUAUCUACUCUGCAGGCCAAAAUAUUUUGCCACUUUAAUUCCCCUCUCCCCAAAAUCAUGCUGCAGCUUUCAUCAAUACCUUUAUAUAAAGAUUUUACUAAUAUUUUCUACUUGUAAAAUACACAUUAGUUCUAAUAUCUUCAAGUGUUGUAAUACUAGUAUCCUGCAAUUAAUUUUUUAGAGAUGCUGCUCUCCUCUAAUCAGAAGGCCCAAAAUGCAAGUGAAGAGAGCUGGAGGGGGGGGUUGUUUUGUUUUUUGAUAGAACCAGUAUGGAUGGGACUUUGUUGGAAGCAAAGUACUGAUUAGAAGGUAACAUCUGUGGAAGAUGCAAUGAGUUGCUUCAUUCAGAUGCAGCUGUUUAGGGAGGAUAAGUAGUAGAGAGAAAGUGGGAUCUCAGAAAUUUUUGCAUCUGGUGGAGGCAGAAUUCCCUUAGAUUUUUAGAAGGGAAUUCUAAUUCUCUUUUGAUGGACAUGUCUACCCCAAACAUUGUAUCAAACCAUACAUGUUUCAUUCAAGUGUCCCUCUUCACUGUGACUAAGCUGUCUACAAGGAAUGGAGACACCUGGUACUAGUAAUUUUAUAUUAAUGUAUAGUUGACAACAAUCACAAAUUAUUUAGAUUUAUACAUGCUUUAAAAUCCAUAGAUCUACACAUGAUGUAAAGCUUAUUUGACCAGCAUAUUGUCUGCAUGUGUAUUCCACCCAUAUACAAGAGUAAUAUAUUGGACCAUACAGAUUAACCUCCUAAAUAAAUAGAAAGUGUAUAAAGUGGCAGGAAAGAACUUGCCCUAGUUAUUAAUAAAAUUCUAGAUGUUAUAUUAUAAAAGAGCAGAGGACCAGAAAAAAAAAAUUCCUUCCAGAAUCCCUAUGAAUAUUACAAUAAGGCUCUUCCCUGAAGAAAUAUUCCAGCAAAGAUAUUUCCUCCUCUGUAUGCAGCCAUUCACCAUGUGCUUACAGCUAAACAUUGUGGGCAUAGCAGAUCCUGAGAUGCAUUAAAAUAGCCAUGGUAGUGAUUUAUAGUACAUCUAACUGAAUAUAAAAAUUCAUUUUGCCAGUUGGAUUUGCUUCCAAGCAAAUAAGUUGAGAGAUGCCUUAAUUACAAAUAUAGUGACUUGGAUGUAAAGAUACUCUUACAUUUGUGAGAGGUUUCUGGGUUGCAGAAGGGGAUUCCUUGCAACAGCCCUCCCCAAUCUGGACAUCUUCCAAAUGAAUGUGGAAUUCUGGAAGCUGAAGUUCAUACAUCCAGUGGAUUCCCAAAUUGGGAAAGGCUGCCUAACAAUUUCUGUUUACUCAUUACAGAUCUGUGCCACAACACAUGCCAUUGGUUCCUAAUAUUCAGGAUGGAUUUUAAAUUCAAAAAGUGUAAAAGUGCAGUAUUUUGGACUCAGUCUAUUAGCUAAAAAGUUUUUGUUUUAUACCGGGGAGAUGAUAAUCUCAUUUUUCUGAUAUGCUCCGCAUUUGUUACAAAUCUGUUUUAAGUGUUUGUGUGUGGACUGAUUAAUUUUAAUAUGCAGCUGCCAUGUUUUCAAAAACAUGGAAGAUUAACUUUUUCAGUUAGUGCCAUUGUCACACACUGCAAAAUAAGAAACAUUUGGUACAGACCUAAAUCAUCUAGUUCACUGUAAUAUUUAAAUAGCUUAUUUCAGGGGUCUUCAAACUUAGCCCUUUUAAGACUUGUGGACUUCAUCUCCCAGAAUUCCUCAGCCAGGCACACUGGCUGAGGAAUUCUGGGAGUUAAAGUCCACAAGUCAUAAAAGGGCCAAGUUUGAAGACCCCUGGCUUAUUUUAAAAAUGGAGAGACAUUUAAAACAUGGAAUUGCUAGAAGGGUCAAACUAAUAUAUUUGUUUUAAUUUAAUUUAGUUAUAUUGUAAUGGCUAAGCUAGAAAUGCAAACCAAAGCUAAAAUACAUUUCUCAAUCUUCUGAGUGGCAUAGUAACAAAUAAGAAAAAAAAAUCAUCUUGGGUUGGAUAAUUGCCUGUUGAGCUUUGAAGGUUUCAUUCCCUAGGUUUAAAUAUUCCUUCAUAUCAGUGGCAAUCUGGGUCAUUAGAAUAUUUAAAGAAAUAAUUCCACUGGCUGUUUGGUAAAAGUAUAUUGUCUUAAGUAAAAUGUUAUUGCAUGUUAACUCCUACACAAAACUUUGAAGACCACUAUACUACCAUAAUAUUUUGGAAAUGAUUCCCCUGGGAAACAAAAGUGGAUAGUUUGGAAAUUAAGAGUUUGACAAUAUUUGCUUACUUAUUACUUAUUUAACAUCCUUUAAGUGUAUUUCAUUUUUAUCUAAAUUUCUUAAAAGUUCAAAAUAGUAGCACUUUAUAUAAUGCUUUACUACUGAAAAACUUUUUAGAUAAAACAAAUCUAUUAUAUGAUUAGAGAGAUGUUUAACUUAAUGAGAGUUUAUUGGGGUGGUUCAUAAUGUGAAUAUUUUAAAGCUUACUUUUUCAGUUUGCUUCCAUCCAUGUUAAAAUACAUUAAUUAACUCCAAAUUCUUAAUCCUGCCAUCUUCCAGAUGAAUUCUUAAUGUUAAUGCUUCUGUAUCCAUUAUAGUGCUAGGACAGCGUAUUUCAUGAUAAAGCAGUGCAGUUCUGAAUCACAAUACCUUUUUUCAGGUUUAGUUUCAGAAUUGUAAUAGUCAGCCGUGAGAUUAAAAUAAUCCCAUAAAUACUUAUGUUCUUUUAUAAUUAUUUUUUUCAAUGUCUGAUAUUUGCCAUAAAUGAAAAAAUUAUAAUUGGAUCCAGUACAGUUCAAUGUCUAGUUAUUUAGACAUUUUCAGACUUGGGAGACCUUGGAGGAAAACCUCAAAUGCAGCUUAAUUAUGAAAGCAAAAAUUAUUGAAACUUUAAUAUAAAUGUGGGAAGGAGUUACAUGCCCACACAAUGCUUUGAUUCCUGUCUAGCAUUUUUACAUUUGUUUUAAAAUCUAUAAAUCAGCAAGAGUUGUUUGCAUAACUUUAUAAAGAGUAGGUAAUGCACAAAAAUAAUUUUAAGAGGGAAAGUUGCAAUUUAUGUAGGUAAAGUCUAUGAUAGAAUUGGAGCUUCUAAAACAAUUAGCACUAAGUUAUAUUGUAUUGUUCUAUUGUUUAAUAAACUAACCGGCAUGAUUAUUUCCACACAUUAGAGGCUGGUUUCAAGUGUAACAUUAAUAUGGAUACUAACUAAUGAUGUGAUUCUCCUAGUAAAUUCUAAAACAAUUUUGUGUUUAUAUGUAGGAUUUCUUUCUUUCCUUUUUUCUGGCACAGGUGCUAUUCUGUAUGUAAAUACUAAAGGAUAUAAAAUCUAGUGUCUGAAUCAUACCCACUGUUCUAUGGGUGGCCAUAUUUAUUUUUUGCUGGAAUGAAUUUGCAUGUUUUUUGUGAUUUUGCGUUCUCCAGUUCAUCUGGAUGCUACACUGCUUUGGGCUUUGACCAUCUCAUUUAUAUCUAAAGCCAAGAUAACUGUCCAUCUUUUGUUCAUUGUGCAAGUUUGUUCUCAUAGAGAUUAAAUUGUCUUUGAACUUGCGUGUUUUCAUUUUUUAGAAACCAAGAUUAUUCAGCUAAGCCUGUAUAUUAAAUAACAGGAAAUGUGGUCUGUUUAACAUGCACUUGGAUUUGUUUAACACUGGACAAUGUAGAAAGAAUUAAUCAUUCAUCACUGCAGCUACUGUAUGUGUUAAAAGGGCCUUAUAUAUUUUGCCUGCAUUGGAGUAUAUGGAGAGUCCUCAUCAUUAAUAAGGUACACUAAUGAUAUACAAUACCAGCAGCUCCCAGAAGAAGAUAAAUAUUUAACAUUUAACAAAUCUUGUUUUUAGUCUUAAGAGCAAAUUCCUUCUAUUAUGUGAAACAUAUGCUGUUAUACAUAUUUUGUGGAUAUAUUUAAUUUUGAUUGACAAAUAGUUGUCUAGGUUCAAACUUGAAAAAUAUAUAGUUUACUUGUAAAUCUUAAUUGUUUAAUUGCAAAAUAAAGAUGUGCUUUAGUAAAAAAA